UUGGUUCGCUAUAGUUGCCUACCCCAUCUUUAAGAGAGUUGAAUAUAUUCAAGAACAUUUGUCCAAAAAAACACUUCAACGUACAAAAAACCACGGCAUGUCAGUGUCUCUUGGAAAACGAAAUUUUUGUACUUCUACAAUCUAUUUUUCUCUUUCUUUUCCUCUUUUUGAUGGUACGUGACAUGACCUCCCCGGAGGACACGUUAGUCGACGGUUUUAUUUUAUUUAGUUUUGUUUGACUGCCGUCUUGAGCAUUUCCAAGUUAGUCUCUUUGUGUUUAUGAUUUGCCCCGUGGGCCGUAUUGGGCCCCAGAGGUCGGAGGUUUCCCUGACCCGGCUUUAAAUGAAUGUCUGUGCAAAGUUGAAAGUUGUUUGAUGAGGGUCAAAGGUUAAAAGAUGAACACGGUGACAUCAUUAGUCAUCCAUCCAAAACAGUAAACCAGACACGAGGCUUCAUGAUUUGGAUGAUAUUUCCUUUUUUUUAUUUACAUUUACAUUUUCUAUGACAUGAAAACCCCAAGUAAACCAUUGAUCAUCGUUAUAUCGGAGAUGGAAGUUUUUUCUUUUGUAAAAGAAAAAAGUUCUGUUUUAAAGUUUCUUCUUCCAACAAAGUAGAAAAAAUAUCAGCGUCCGCUUCCCUCCGUGCUCUCUCUGAAAGCGAACAGAGGGUGGAGGCAGUGAGGGGGCGGGACCCCGGGCGGGAGGUCAUCGGCGUAAGCUGACCUUUAGCCUCGUGUGCCCCGAGCGGCCGGCCGUGUUUGUUGUCUGUUGCUGUUGUUCUAAUGAGAGCAGCCGGUGUCGGGGUGAGCCGCUCGGUUUCUGCAGGUCACCGCAAAUAAACACGCGCAUUAGUCCGGGUAAUGGGUUCGGUGGGACGCCGCGCUCACAUUUACAAUGGUUGAUCUCUGAACUCUGAGUGCGCCAAGCUUGCAGGGCCGCGGAUCAUCAGAUGAGGGGAGUUUUUUCAGAGAGGAAGCGCUCGCUUCUGGUUUCAUUAGCGCCGCGACCCUGAGGGCCGUGCCUGAAGAGGCGGGGCCGGGGCAACACCCGGCGCUGGUCCGCUGCGUGCUCCUCCAUCACUCCGCUGAAUGGAUAAAUAAUUAGCGGUGCUCCCGCUCCUCGCCCUCCCACGCUGGGUUAAAGCCGCCUCUUUCUCACCUCGCUCGGGAGGAGAGGAAGGAAAAAACAGGGCUGCAGCCUGAGAUGCUUUCAGGAGGCCUUCGAAAUUACAGCGCUGCCGCUCCCUCCUCCUCCUCCUCCCUCACAACUGACCCUCAUUGGAGAUGGAUGAGCUGGGAUUCACCGGAACACAGCAGCUUCAAAAGGAAAGAGUGCAAAAAAAAACAACCUACGGCUGAAGAAGAUGCCAGAGCGCUUCAGACGGAUGUGGGCGGAAUUUACUGCUUCUCCAGAAAACGUCUGAACGGUUUCCACGGCGAUCUGACCGGUCGUCCGUCUCUCUUGCUGUGACAGAGCUGACUCUGCUCUGCGUUGACGUGAUGUUAAACAGCCGUUCGACAUCUUCACCUCCCGCGCGCCGCCUCACAGUAACCUUGCUCGCCUACUCGUGCACAGAGUGACCACAGGCAGAGAAGCCGCUCACUGCGGGAAUUCAACAGCUGACGUUUGCUCUGCUCAGCCAGAGACAAGAAGCAAAACACUGCAGACAAUCUUCUGCAACAGGUUGUUGUUUUGUGUAUUUUUCCUAAUGAAAAAGUCUGAUCCCUCAGAGGGACAAAAUAUGCCUCACACGGGGCGCCAACAUGUCCAGAGGGGGUCCUGCUUACUUGUUAGGAAAUGAGGAUGAAGGAAGAAUCCUAGGGAGCAAGACAAAAGCAAACUUGCUUUUUUUAGCAGAUCGGAAACAGCUCUGUGUCGGUGAGACAAUGAAAUACGAUGUUUAGUCUGAGCAACAGACCCAUUAAUUUGACGGUUUAUCAGAUGCCAGGAUGCUGAACGGCAGUUUAUAAUUCUCAGACAGAAAAGGGAAUUUCACAACUCCGGAAAGCUGCAGGUGUUUUGUUGCAACGAUUGCAAGGUUAACUGUAGAAAAUGUAAGGCCUCAAGUCAGAAUGAACAUGGAAGUAAGCAGAGCAGACUGAGGGACCAAGGGGCAAGGACGCUUUACAGUUAAUGAGCGAGGACAAUAAGGAAGCAUGUAGAACAGAGGCUUCCUUUUUAGCAGGAAAGAAUAGGAAGCAUCUAAGGCAGUAACACAAGUAAAAGGAUGCUCCCUAGUUAAGAAAGGAGGAACAAGGUUCCUUAGUUGAGAAACAUACAAGGACAAAGCUUCCUUUUAGAAAUUCUUAAAAGGAAAAUUAAGAUGACUUAUCAGUCUGUAUAUAUAUAUACAGUAUACAUACUGUAUAUAUAUAUAUAUAUAUGGCAGCUAAAUGUAAAUUAACCAUGUCAACAUAACCUGAUGCCUGAUAGAUAAUGUCGUAUUUUAAACCUGUAAUACAAAGAGCAUGGGGCGCUCAAGUCUUAUCUUUAACCAAUGAUUUAUUCAAGUGUUAUUUUAGGAAAAAGAUAUCUAUUAAUAAAAAUAAAAAAAAUGUUUUUUAUUCCACAAAAAUACUAUUUUUUAGGAUACAAAUUGCGGAGCAUUUAGGAGGAGGUGGUGGAGACCAAACACUGAGAUAAAAUAAAAUAACACUGCUCCACAUGAAUGAUCAAUGCUCUUUAAGUUCACUUAAAACAAAAAAUAAUAAUCAACUAUUGCCGGUUUAAGAAAAAACAAAGUGUCCUAGGUUGAAAGGAUAAGGAGCAAGAAAAUGUCCUAGUGUGAGAGUGAGAAAGAAAAGUGAGACAUGAGAAAAUAUCAUUGCGUCUCGUAAUAUUCACACAUAUGAAGCGGCAUUGUAGCUGUUCACUUCGCUGCCGUUGCCGUGACGCGAGUCGUCGAUGUGACCUGACGGCAGGUACGACGACCGGGUGAGAUCGACGGUUUCGGGAGAGCCGCCGAAACGCGACGUGCCCCUCUUUCAAUAUUUAAUCAGGAAGUGCAGCACAGGCCGCGGGUUAACAUUUCAUAAAACACAUUAGCAUUGAUUCGGCAGGCCCUGGCAGAUUAAAGUGGAUAAAGAGGAGGACGGAGGGAGUCGAUGAUUCGGUAACAACUGAGAGGUGAGUAAAGACGACGCGGAAGCUUUUGAACUUUUCCAUUUCUUUUUAAAAGGAAGUGCGACACAGACUCGGAUGUUUGUGAUCUGCGCUGUCGCCUGAAAGGACAACGGAGGAAUCAUUAAUCCACUUAGUGACACCUGCUCUUUUUCUCACCUCGGAUAUUCUUCCGACUCCUCAAGGCAGAAAUAGUCGAUUCGCAGAGAUAGAUCCUCCUCCACGUGCAGCUGCGGGUGACAAAAGGGCUGCAGGUGGGAAAUAAUUACAGAAAUUAAAGAAAGGAGCUAAUUAAUAGCUGUGGGGGGAAAGUCCAAUAAUAAGUCCAAUUUCACUUCUGAGUUGAGACGUUGGGAGUCGAUGCCUCAGCGUGAUAAAAACAUCACGUCGGCUUCUUUUGCCGCCUCGGAACAGCAGAAGAAUUAGUCGCUAAUUAGUAAAUACUACAGGAGGAAAUAUGCGGAAUGUUAUUUAAAUGAGGGCGCAUUUGACCCAGCUCACGGGAGACGCAAAAAUAUCUACGCUUGUUGUCGUUGGUUACGGAGAUGGGUGAUGGCGGGGGGGGGGGGGAGUGACAGGAGAGCAGGACCCCGAUGGUGGAAUCAAUCCGGGCGGCGCCGCGCUUCAGACGCGACGUGUCGCAGGGCGCCAGACACUCGGCAGAUGGUGAUGCCGAGUUCCAGCCGCUCGCCGGUGGGUGACGUUCAUCUGAGGCGAGUGAAGUGUUUGUAGCGCGUCGUCCAUAAAAACACGCCCAAGAAUUUCAGGCAGCAGGUUCGGCUCCAUCGUUCCAAAAACAACAAGGUCUCAUUUUGUUAUUUUUAGCAGCUUCCCCUUUAGAAAACCAGAAAAACGAAGGACGGAACUUCCUAAAGUCGGAAGAAGCGAGAUAGAAGCAAACUUUUUCUCAGAAGGAGGCGUCGCUCAGCUUUACGGGAAAUGUUCAAAUGUUGAGUUUCCCACUUCAGCGAACUUCAAGCGCCAUCUGGACUUCAGGUGCGUUUACUUCAAAGUUCGUUUUCUUCUGUGGAGAAAACAAAAACCCUAAAACUAGCUAGAGCUAAAAAAAAACAAAAGCACUGGGAUGUUUUUCUGCCGUCGCACACUUCACUACAACUUCCAGCUGCCGACACCUUCCGACGCGUUGAAAAUCUCCCGGGCGGAAAAAAGAAAAUGAUUAACAAAAAAUUCGAAAAUAAAAAAUCUCACAUUGGUCGGGGGUUGUGACGCGUGUGACGCGCGGCGUUAAUUGGCAGCCGAACGAUCAUGAUGAAUUCAUGCAGGAAUAACAGCGGAUUACUGCCGUUUAAUUAACGAUGCCGCGUCGACGCCGCCGCCGCCGCGGCAUCCAUAUUUAACGAGCAACAUCGCUAACAGGAACUGAUCGCUGAGCCUCCCAGCAUCAGGAACGAGCUGAGGACGCAGCACAGGCCGAUACAGUUGAACAGCAGCUACAGAGCAACAUGUUUGUCCAGCGUUCUCUCUCUUUUAGCUCCGUGUUUGGUCUCCACCGCCUCCUCAGGGAAACUUCUGCAGCCGCUAAACGCCGCGCUACAUGUUGACGAUCCUCAGACAUUAAACAUGAAAAGAUACGAGCCGAACCUCGCCGUGAAUCUCCGUGGAGAUGCAGAUUCAACUUUCCUUUCAAAAGACCAUUUAAUUUCCCGCUAUGGUGAAAUACUGCUUAAAGCCACAGACGCCGCAGACGUGUUAGCUUGAUAUUUGGUUGCGUUAACCUAUGUGCACAAUGAGAACACAUGGUGUUUCCGGUGUUUUAUUUUCUGCGAUGUCCGAUGGUUUUCACUGUCGACACCAUUCAACACAAGUUGUGAGUUAAAGGGGCAGUCGGCGAUUUUGGAUAAAGACAGUGGGCUGCUCGGGAGACAGACGCGCUUAUUGUGAGGUCAAAACCCCUGAGUCGUAGCGUCUGUCGCUAGCACGUCUAGCGUAGUUUUUUUGCGGCGCGGCCUGAACGGACAGCUAGGAAAUAUUCUCAGCAUUUUUUACAAAAAGGAACAUUGGAUUAAAAUCUCUAAAUCCCAAUCCACGGACACGCCCCCCGUCUCAUCGGACAUUGGAACUUUGUGUAAAAAAACUGAAUGAACAGGAAUCGUCCACAUGCGGCGCGGGCAAGACUUCCGGCGAGUGCAUUCUGCGAACAGGUGUUGGAAAAUAAAAAGUUUACCCAUAACUGUUCAAGUCAUUUAUGAAAACAUGACUAAAAAUUAAAAUCUUAAUUUCAAAAGAA